rnacentral:rRNA from 1 species
AUUGAACGCUGGCGGCAUGCCUUACACAUGCAAGUCGAACGGUAACAGGUCUUCGGAUGCUGACGAGUGGCGAACGGGUGAGUAAUACAUCGGAACGUGCCUAGUAGUGGGGGAUAACUACUCGAAAGAGUGGCUAAUACCGCAUGAGAUCUACGGAUGAAAGCAGUGGAUCGCAAGACCUUGUGCUACUAGAGCGGCCGAUGGCAGAUUAGGUAGUUGGUGGGAUAAAAGCUUACCAAGCCGACGAUCUGUAGCUGGUCUGAGAGGACGAUCAGCCACACUGGGACUGAGACACGGCCCAGACUCCUACGGGAGGCAGCAGUGGGGAAUUUUGGACAAUGGGCGCAAGCCUGAUCCAGCAAUGCCGCGUGCAGGAUGAAGGCCUUCGGGUUGUAAACUGCUUUUGUACGGAACGAAAAGCCCUGGGUUAAUACCCUGGGGUCAUGACGGUACCGUAAGAAUAAGCACCGGCUAACUACGUGCCAGCCGCCGCAUAAUAC